rnacentral:rRNA from 1 species
AGCGAACGCUGGCGGCAGGCCUAACACAUGCAAGUCGAACGAAGUCUUCGGACUUAGUGGCGGACGGGUGAGUAACACGUGGGAACGUGCCUUUAGGUUCGGAAUAACUCAGGGAAACUUGUGCUAAUACCGUAUGUGCCCUUCGGGGGAAAGAUUUAUCGCCUUUAGAGCGGCCCGCGUCUGAUUAGCUAGUUGGUGGGGUAAAGGCUCACCAAGGCGACGAUCAGUAGCUGGUCUGAGAGGAUGAUCAGCCACAUUGGGACUGAGACACGGCCCAAACUCCUGCGGGAGGCAGCAGUGGGGAAUCUUGCGCAAUGGGCGAAAGCCUGACGCAGCCAUGCCGCGUGAAUGAUGAAGGUCUUAGGAUUGUAAAAUUCUUUCACCGGGGACGAUAAUGACGGUACCCGGAGAAGGAGCCCCGGCUAACUUCGUGCCAGCAGCCGCCGCCGUAA